UACGGAGGGGGCUAGCGUUGUUCGGAAUUACUGGGCGUAAAGCGCACGUAGGCGGCUUUGUAAGUUAGAGGUGAAAGCCCGGGGCUCAACUCCGGAAUUGCCUUUAAGACUGCAUCGCUAGAAUCAUGGAGAGGUGAGUGGAAUUCCGAGUGUAGAGGUGAAAAUUCGUAGAUAUUCGGAAGAACACCAGUGGCGAAGGCGACUCACUGGACAUGUAUUGACGCUGAGGUGCGAAAAGCGUGGGGGAGCAAACAGG
rnacentral:rRNA from 1 species